UUGAGCGCCUUCAUCAUUUUUUUCAGUUAGUACCCCCAAUUUCCUGCAAUGCUUAAAGGCCUAUGUUUAUGUUUUUCCAAAAAUUAAAAAUGUCCAAGGUCAACUACAAGAGUGAACGGGGUUAUUUGGUUGGUCCCUGGUUGCAGGUGAGAGAAUUAUAUAGUUUGUGGGUUGAAUUAACAGAACCUGUGUUUUCUUUUCUUUUGUUUUCUUUUAGCAUGGUUAAUUUCAUGUUUAUUUAGUCUUUGAAUAGUUAUGAAAUUGAGAAUUUGCCCAUUGGUUGUUGAUUUAACUCCUUAUUGUUUUAAAAAUAAGUAUAACACUCAAGACUACCAUUUAUUUAUAUCUAAUUAUGAAUUAGAUUUUCUCUUUUUUGAAUUUUUUUAAUUCAUGCUGAUUGGCUUCAAAAAUGGUAACAUAAGGUUGAUGUUAGAUCAGAGAUCUUGUCUAGC
rnacentral:lncRNA from 1 species